rnacentral:misc_RNA from 1 species
UCUCCGUAGGUGAACCUGCGGAGGGAUCAUUACAGAGUUCAUGCCCUACCGGGUAGAUCUCCCACCCUAUGUUAUUAUUACUUUGUUGCUUUGGCGGGCCGUUAGGCUACGGCCCGACUACCGGCCCCGGCUGGUAAGCGCCCGCCAGAGGACCCAAAACCCUGAAUAUUAGUGUCGUCUGAGUACUAUAUAAUAGUUAAAACUUUCAACAACGGAUCUCUUGGUUCUG